AUAUCAAUAAGCGGAGGAAAAGAAACCAACAGGGAUUGCCCCAGUAACGGCGAGUGAAGCGGCAACAGCUCAAAUUUGAAAUCUGGCCCCCCCCGCGGGGCCCGAGUUGUAAUUUGCAGAGGAUGCUUUUGGCGCGGCGCCUUCCGAGUUCCCUGGAACGGGACGCCAUAGAGGGUGAGAGCCCCGUCUGGUCGGACGCCCAGCCACUGUAAAGCUCCUUCGACGAGUCGAGUAGUUUGGGAAUGCUGCUCUAAAUGGGAGGUAUAUGUCUUCUAAAGCUAAAUACUGGCCAGAGACCGAUAGCGCACAAGUAGAGUGAUCGAAAGAUGAAAAGCACUUUGAAAAGAGGGUUAAACAGUACGUGAAAUUGUUGAAAGGGAAGCGCUUGUGACCAGACUUGGGCGCGGCGAAUCAUCCGGCGUUCUCGCCGGUGCACUUCGCCGCGCCCGGGCCAGCAUCAGUUCGCCGCGGGGGACAAAGGCGCCGGGAACGUGGCUCCCCCGGGAGUGUUAUAGCCCGGCGCGCAAUGCCCCGCGGCGGACUGAGGUUCGCGCAUCCGCAAGGAUGCUGGCGUAAUGGUCACCAGUGACCCGUCUUGAAACACGGACCAAGGAGUCGUCCUCGUAUGCGAGUGUUCGGGUGUCAAACCCCUACGCGCAAUGAAAGUGAACGCAGGUGAGAGCCUCACGGCGCAUCAUCGACCGAUCCUGAUGUUCUCGGAUGGAUUUGAGUAAGAGCAUACGGGGCCGGACCCGAAAGAAGGUGAACUAUGCCUGUGUAGGGUGAAGCCAGAGGAAACUCUGGUGGAGGCUCGCAGCGGUUCUGACGUGCAAAUCGAUCGUCAAACAUGGGCAUGGGGGCGAAAGACUAAUCGAACCUUCUAGUAGCUGGUUUC
rnacentral:rRNA from 1 species